GGACGGCUAGCUCAAUGGUAGAGCGUCGCGCUUACAUCGCGGAGGUUUAUAGGUUCGAGCCCUAUGCCGUCCA
rnacentral:tRNA from 1 species